rnacentral:rRNA from 1 species
CGCUUUUGUGGGGUGCUCGAGUGGCGAACGGGUGAGUAACACGUGAGUAACCUGCCCUUGACUUUGGGAUAACUUCAGGAAACUGGGGCUAAUACCGGAUAGGAGCCCCUGCUGCAUGGUGGGGGUUGGAAAGUUUCGGCGGUUGGGGAUGGACUCGCGGCUUGUCAGCUUGUUGGGGGGUAGUGGCUUACCAAGGCUUUGACGGGUAGCCGGCCUGAGAGGGUGACCGGCCACAUUGGGACUGAGAUACGGCCCAG